rnacentral:rRNA from 1 species
UACGUAGGGGGCUAGCGUUGUCCGGAAUCAUUGGGCGUAAAGAGCGUGUAGGCGGCCCGGUAAGUCCGCUGUAAAAGUCAAAGGCUCAACCUUUGAAUGUCAGUGGAUACUGCCGGGCUAGAGUCCGGAAGAGGCGAGUGGAACUCCUGGUGUAGCGGUGAAAUGCGCAGAUAUCAGGAAGAACACCAAUGGCGAAGGCAGCUCUCUGGGACGGUACUGACGCUGAGACGCGAAGGCUAGGGGAGCGAACGGG